AGCAAUACAGAUGGUGGCGACCGGCGCACGGGUGAGUAACACGUAUGCAACCUACCUUCCACUGGAGAAUAACCCGUUGAAAGACGGGCUAAUACUCCAUAAUACAGGGGUCCCGCAUGGGAAUAUUUGUUAAAGAAUUUUCGGUAGAAGAUGGGCAUGCGUUCCAUUAGCUAGUUGGUUGAGGUAACGGCUCACCAAGGCAACGAUGGAUAGGGGAACUGAGAGGUUUAUCCCCCACACUGGUACUGAGACACGGACCAGACUCCUACGGGAGGCAGCAGUGAGGAAUAUUGGUCAAUGGAGGCAACUCUGAACCAGCCACGUCGCGUGAAGGAUGACGGCCCUAUGGGUUGUAAACUUCUUUUAUACAGGAAUAAAGUGAGCCACGAGUGGUUUUUUGCAUGUACUGUAUGAAUAAGGAUCGGCUAACUCCGUGCCAGCAGCCGCGGUAAUACGGAGGAUCCAAGCGUUAUCCGGAUUUAUUGGGUUUAAAGGGUGCGCAGGCGGAAGAUUAAGUCGGCGGUGAAAUUUUGCAGCUCAACUGUAAAAGUGCCAACGAUACUGGUUUUCUUGAGUGUGGAUGAAGUAGGCGGAAUUUGUGGUGUAGCGGUGAAAUGCAUAGAUAUCACGAGGAACUCCGAUUGCGCAGGCAGCUUACUAGGCCAUAACUGACGCUCAGGCACGAAGGCGUGGGGGAUCAAACAGGAUUAGAUACCCUGGUAGUCCACGCUGUAAACGAUGGAUGCUAGCCGUCAGCAAGCAUGCUUGUUGGUGGCGCAGUAACGCAUUAAGCAUCCCGCCUGGGGAGUACGGCCGCAAGGUUAAAACUCAAAGGAAUUGACGGGGGCCGCACAAGCGGUGGAGCAUGUGGUUUAAUUCGACGCAACGCGAAGAACCUUACCAGCCCUUGACAUGCCCGGACGGUUUCCAGAGAUGGAUUCCUCCUAGCAAUAGGUCGGGACACAGGUGCUGCAUGGCUGUCGUCAGCUCGUGUCGUGAGAUGUUGGGUUAAGUCCCGCAACGAGCGCAACCCUCGCCAUUAGUUGCCCUUAUUAAGUUAGGCACUCUAGUGGGACUGCCGGUGAUAAGCCGGAGGAAGGUGGGGAUGACGUCAAGUCAUCAUGGCCUUACGGGCUGGGCUACACACGUGCUACAAUGGCGGUGACAGUGGGCAGCCACCCAGCGAUGGGCAGCUAAUCCCAAAAAGCCGUCUCAGUUCGGAUUGGAGUCUGCAACUCGACUCCAUGAAGUCGGAAUCGCUAGUAAUCGCAGAUCAGCACGCUGCGGUGAAUACGUUCCCGGGCC
rnacentral:rRNA from 1 species